rnacentral:misc_RNA from 1 species
GAACUGCGAUAAGUAAUGUGAAUUGCAGAAUUCAGUGAAUCAUCGAGUCUUUGAACGCACAUUGCGCCCCCUGGCAUUCCGGGGGCCAUGCCUGUCCGAGCGUCAUUGCUGCCCUUCAAGCCCGGCUUGUGUGUUGGGUCGUCGUCCCCCCCGGGGGACGGACCCGAAAGGCAGCGGCGGCACCGUGUCCGGUCCUCGAGCGUAUGGGGCUUUGUCACCCGCUCGAUUAGGACCGGCCGGGCGCCCGCCGGCGUCAAACCCCAAUCUUUCUAAGGUUGACCUCGGAUCAGGUAGGGAUACCCGCUGAACUUAAGC